CGCGGUGGUCCCACCUGAUCCCAUGCCGAACUCAGAAGUGAAACGCCGUAGCGCCGAUGGUAGUGUGGGGUCUCCCCAUGUGAGAGUAGGG
rnacentral:rRNA from 1 species